UUCAAUCCGUGGGCUUGAAGAUUUCCUGUUCGCCUGCUGUUCUCUACAGCACACUCAUUCCUCAACAUGCCUCUAAUUGAUGCAGGAUUAUCAACAGCUAGUUUUGGAAAUCUUGCAAGUUGUAUUUACCACCAGCUUUUCAACAUCAUCAACAGCUGGUUUGGAAACCUUAAAAGUUCUAUCUACGACAGCAAUUUGUUUGGAAAUCUUGCAAGUUCUAUCUACCACCAACUUUAUCAACAUCAUCAACAACUGCUUUGAAAACCUUGCAAGUUCUAUCUACGACAGGUAAGCCACAGAUAUUCAGUUUUUUUUACCAAUCAUUAGUUGCUAACUUUUUCACUCCUUCCCCACCCAGAUACAGUACAACUAUUUUUUUUCGUUUCCUACUGUUUAACCCGCAAUUAGCUACUGGUUUUGAAUCGUUGUCUGUUGAUUGUUCUUUCACUUAUUCCUCAUUAAAACAAGCAUCUUCAGUUUCUCGAUUUCAAACCGUUAAUUACUAUUAUUCUUAUUUCUCCUCGAUAUGCAUAUACCAAACCCUACUUCAUCUCUUAUUGUUUAAGACAAAAAUCACUUACUAUUUACAAUCACCAACUUUUAAUUCAAUUAAAACAAAAAUAACCACUUCCUUCAGUAUACUUUUUAUGUAUGCUUUCUAUUUAUGUUACAAGAACUUUUAGGUUACCUUAUAGUCCAUUUAAAAACCCCUGCAAAACUGUGAGGAAUUGCUUAGUAAAACACUCUGAUUUUUUUGUUUACUACUCAUUAGUUACUAAUGUUCACAUUUCUGAA